rnacentral:rRNA from 1 species
GAUGAACGCUGGCGGCGCGCCUAAUACAUGCAAGUCGAGCGAACAGACGAGGAGCUUGCUCCUCUGACGUUAGCGACGGACGGGUGAGUAACACGUGGAUAACCUACCUAUAAGACUGGGAUAACUUCGGGAAACCGGAGCUAAUACCGGAUAAUAUAUUGAACCGCAUGGUUCAAUAGUGAAAGACGGUUUUGCUGUCACUUAUAGAUGGAUCCGCGCCGCAUUAGCUAGUUGGUAAGGUAACGGCUUACCAAGGCAACGAUGCGUAGCCGACCUGAGAGGGUGAUCGGCCACACUGGAACUGAGACACGGUCCAGACUCCUACGGGAGGCAGCAGUAGGGAAUCUUCCGCAAUGGGCGAAAGCUUGACGGAGCAACGCCGCGUGAGUGAUGAAGGUCUUCGGAUCGUAAAACUCUGUUAUUAGGGAAGAACAAAUGUGUAAGUAACUAUGCACGUCUUGACGGUACCUAAUCAGAAAGCCACGGCUAACUACGUG